rnacentral:rRNA from 1 species
GAUGAACGCUGGCGGCGUGCCUAAUACAUGCAAGUCGAGCGAACGGACGAGAAGCUUGCUUCUCUGAUGUUAGCGGCGGACGGGUGAGUAACACGUGGAUAACCUACCUAUAAGACUGGGAUAACUUCGGGAAACCGUAGCUAAUACCGGAUAAUAUUUUGAACCGCAUGGUUCAAAAGUGAAAGACGGUCUUGCUGUCACUUAUAGAUGGAUCCUCGCUGCAUUAGCUAGUUGGUAAGGUAACGGCUUACCAAGGCAACGAUGCAUAGCCGACCUGAGAGGGUGAUCGGCCACACUGGAACUGAGACACGGUCCAGACUCCUACGGGAGGCAGCAGUAGGGAAUCUUCCGCAAUGGGCGAAAGCCUGACGGAGCAACGCCGCGUGAGUGAUGAAGGUCUUCGGAUCGUAAAACUCUGUUAUUAGGGAAGAACAUAUGUGUAAGUAACUGUGCACAUCUUGACGGUACCUAAUCAGAAAGCCACGGCUAACUACGUG